rnacentral:lncRNA from 1 species
AGCAAAGACACAAAACCAAAGUGGGAGAGCAUGAAAAAGCAGACCAGAGUCUUGAAUAAAAUCAAUAGAAGCUAGUCAAUCCCCAAAGCAGCAAUUGAAUAUAUGUUUUAAGAAUUUUCGAUGUUAAGCCGUAAGCAAGGGGAAUGUAAUCAUGUCAGCCCCAAUAGUAAAAGGGAAAUAUUGCUUAUAUAGUUGGGGAGAGUGGAGAAUUAAAAGGAAGAAAUAUGUAAGAAAAUCAAUCAGAGGUGGUAAGAAAGGAAAAUAAAAUAUGCUAAAAAUCAAUUAUCAAAACCGAAUCAAUUAAAUGAGACGAAAAUAUGCUUAACUUCCAUAGAUAUUUACAGAGUCUGUUAAAACCAAAAAAGCCAAGGAAGAGCCCACACGAUUUUCCUUCUUUGCAAAUUUUCACCAUAAAUAGACAAUAAUGAGACUAUAAAAUUAUUCAAAAAAUUAAGGAAAUUAACCGAUACUGCUCAAUCACACAAAUAUUUGCCAUAAAUAUUCGAUUACCAAAGUUGUCAACCUCCAACGCGUGAUUUGACUUCAAUUUCAAUAAGGGACCGAAUCAAUUAACAACAACUAGUUUGACAACCCGAUUUACCAAAAGAAAGAAUUUCCAGUCAAUCACAUAUGAUAAAAAAUUAAUCAAUAAUCAAGAACGUAGAUUAGAAUCAACGCCCAACAUUAGCAUCAAAAUCAAGCACAUGCAAAUUUGGGCGUUUUCACAUAUAUUGAUAUAGAUGAGAAGAUAAUCAUGUAUUUAAAGGAAUUAAACAAAACAUUCAAAGUUAGACAUAGCCAAUUUUAAAUCUAAGAAUCUGUUAAAAAGGAAAAAGAGUAGAAGAGGGUUUAGGCAAAACUUAAAACUGGAACCAACCUGAGACGGAUUUGUGAAUACGUCAUGCACUUUUAAAUGAUUUUUCGAUGAAUUUCAAUUGGAAUCACGGGCAGCGGCGGAACAAGGUGGCGGAUUGAUGGAGAUCACUGGUGGCCUGGUUUUGCUGGACAUCAGCCGACAGUGGAGUGGCGACGUGGUACUGUUGCUGGUCGUGGCUUGAGAGGAUGAGGCGGCGACGGUAGUUGGGUGUUGCUGGUCCAUCAGUGGCGGCGUUGGACUAGUGGCUGACGGCUGUUGGUGUCGUCACCGGCCAUGGUUGGUAGGCGUUCGCUAGAAAGAGAGAGAGAUGCGGCUUACAGAGAGAGAGAAGAGAGUAUGGCCGAAGAGAGAGAAAGACGUGGCUCUUUUGUUGUUUUUUUUGGAAAAUAGGAUUAGGGUUUGUUUUGUUUAAAAAGGUUUGUUUUGUUUAAAAAGGGAAGAAAGGAUGAUUUGAUCUCAGCCGUCGAUCGCAUGUGAUAAACGGUUGUGAUUAAAAUUAAGAAGAGGAGAUGAAAAUUGAUUAAAAAUUGAAUCAAAUUAAACUCAAAAAUAAGAUAAAAUUGAUAUUAAUCGGAUAUAAAAUGGCUAAAAAUUAAAUAAAU